UUUUUUUAAAAAAGAAACCUUCACUUUUGUCCGACCAAACCCGCAGUCCUCGUCCUGUCACCGCUCCACUCUCCUCCCCGCAGCUUCUUGAUGCUGCGCUGCUCUGCGUCGCGCGGCGCCGGUGAGCUCCCCAGCGCCGGGCCGCUGAGCUCCCUCGCGCCGCUGAGAUCCCCAGCGCCUCCUUUCCAUCCUCUACAACGCUGCAUAGCUCCCCCUCUCGUUUAAAACCCCCUUCUUCCCCGAGGCCCUAAUCGACGAGGCGCCGCUCGAUCUGGAGGAUGACGACAAGUUAGCGCUCGAUCUGGAGCAUGGCGACGGCAUGGGGCGGGGACUCUCGUCCUCGAGCAACUAAUCCACCAGCCCCUCCUCCUCCUCCAGGCCCUCCUCAACAUCUUCGGCGACUCACCGGCGACGACGGCAUGGAGAAGACGACGGUGGAUGCUGCGGAAGUCGACCCCAACGACAGAGCACAGGCUAGGCUUAAGAGAGGAAGUAACAGAGAUUCAUUCAGAGAGAAAUAUUGCUGCUUUGGGGUGCUGCUGCUGUUGCUACAUGUUACUGAUGUGUGCUAGAUGUUGAGAUUAGAGACUAUGAGACUGGCUGAUAUACGUUGUGACUUGACUAAAUUACUUUUUGCACAUGUCAGCUGUAAAGAAGUCUAGGAAGAGUUGUUGCUAAAGAAAAUCAGAGAAUAAUUGUGCUCAGUUCACAUGUGUGGCAGGAUCAAGAUUUCUUUUCUGGAACAAGGAACAAAAGUAUGGCUUCUACCCUAUGAUUAGAGGCAAAAUCUUGUGCUCGUUUCAUGGCUGCCAGGAAUACCACAAGCUUCUUCAAGAGUUCAUGACCGCAGUCAAGCAAAACUAUAUGGCGAGAAAGUCCUGGUCCAGUUUGAGGACUUUGCCAACCACAAUGCAUUCAAUUUGCUCGCAAAGUACAACAACAGCCAUCUUGUCAACAAUGAUAUCCAGCUACAAGAAGGCUGGGUGAAGUCUAUGAUGGGUUCUUUUCCAAGCAAGGAGAAGGCCAAGGUGACGCUGGUCUACAGCUACAGGAACGUCAUCAGCAGGUUCACGCCGAAGCUCACGCCCGCGCAGGUCCCCGUGUUGAGUGUUAUCUAAACGUCCAACUACACCACUGAGGACCAUCAUGUGACAUAAACAUGUGAAGUCUAAAACAAAGAGAAGAAAAUGGAGCAGACAAGUGGAAAUCUGAAACAAACAGAAGGACAGGGAGCAGGCAAGUGUAUGUGCUCGGCUGGAAUACAAAUCAAACAAAUUGUAUACAAAUAUAUAAUACACAGCCAAACUGAAGGUAAUAGAAAUAAAGUUGAACAAAAGAUCAUGUAGCAGUGUGUGAGAUUUGGUAAACAAUCACACCUGUCCAGCAGCCAUGGUCGCGGUUGGCGGGGACGCACACCCUCUGAGGAACUGCAAUACGGCAGCCGAGCAACGCUGCGCUGAGUCUGCUGCGUUGAAACGGAGGCAUGAAAGACAAUUACAGGGACCAAGAAGGAUAGCCGACUGACACGGGAUGCAGGAAGGAAGAGAAGGUGCGGAGCAUAAUAUAUGAGCGAUGGUGGGAGAAGAUAGUAACGCAGCGAUAGCAGAGAUUAAUUACCAGGAGGCAGACAGUCGGCAAUGAUUAGGAUAAUUAAACGCCGGUGGCGGUGUCAGCUUCCACGUUGAAAUGACAUGAACAUAAUGGGGCGGUACAGCUGCAAGGGCAUGGAGUCCGACGAUCGCGGAGGACAACCGGGGAUGGAUGUCGCCGGCGUGCCGCCGCUGCUGCCACCAUGGAUGAAUGCAACAUGGGUAAAAAGAAACCAACCAUGAGGGGUUGCGGGGGAAGAAUAUAGGUACCGACGCCUAUGCACACGUACUCGCCGGCAGGACGUAAGACGGCGGUGGCGCUGACAAACAGAGGUAACUCGGGGGAGAGAGCUGGGGGAAAAGGAUUCGGAUAGAUAAAGUAGGGAUUAGUUUUUUUUUUUUUUGAGAUAAGGGUGGACAACUGGAGGCUGCACACAUUUCACUGGGCUUUGUGGGCCUUCGAGCUGUACAGCCUGUUUACGCACAGAAGGUGUAGCUCGUUGCGCGGAGCAGUGGCCCAGGUAACGCUGGGCACAAUGAGUCUUUGGCAGAGAAAUACUUGGGGCUGCCCUCGGAUGUGGGGAGAGCAAAGGAGGGCUCUUUCAAAUACUUGAAAGAUCGAAUCUGGAAACGAGUGCAAGGAUGGAUGGAAAAGUGUUUGUCGGCGGGAGGAAAGGAGGUUCUUAUCAAGUCGGUGGCACAAGCCAUUCCGACUUACUCAAUGGCAUGUUUUAAGUUACCCCGUGGUUUGUGUGAACACAUAAACGGUCAGAUUCGGAAAUUCUGGUGGGGGAGUAAGAAUGGCGAGAGAAAGACAGCUUGGGUGUCUUGGAAAACCAUGUCAAAACCAAAGUUUAUGGGGGGCUUAGGCUUUCGAGAUAUUGAGUUAUUCAACCUGGCCUUACUUGCUCGACAAGCUUGGAGAUUAUUGCAGAAACCGGAGUCUUUGAGUGCACGAGUGUUAAAAGCCCGGUAUUUCCCUAACACCGAUCUUCUACAGGCCAAUCUGGGUUCGGCCCCUUCCCAAGUUUGGCGAUCUCUUGUUGAAGGAAGGGAUAUAUUACAACUGGGACUUGUCAGGAGAAUUGGAAAAGGUGCAGACACAAACGUUUGGCAAGAUAAUUGGAUCCCAAGGGACUAUAAACUGAGACCCAUAUGUGUCCGCUCUUUGAAUCCUCCGGUUUUGGUCUCGGAGCUUAUAAACCUUGCUACUCGCUCAUGGAAUAAGCAUGCGUUGACUGAACAUUUCAUUGUGGCUGAUGUUGAGGCUAUUCUUAAUAUACCACUUAGCACGCAGAUGCAAGAGGACUUUUGGGCAUGGCACUAUGAUAGGUGUGGUAUUUUCUCAGUAAGAUCAGCCUAUAGGAUGAUCUGUGCCAUCAAAACUCAAUAGGAAGACUGGUUAGAGCAUCGGCCAAGUCAUUCAAAUAUUGCAGCUAGCAAGAACUCUUGGACACAGUUGUGGAAGGUGAGGAUUCCAUCGAAGAUUCGAGUCUUUGUUUGGCGGUUGGCACAUACAUUUAUACCGACGGGGAUAGUCCGGCAUGAAAGGAGGAUGGCUGAUACCCCAGCAUGCUCCUUAUGUGGGGCGGUAGAGGAUACAUGGCGUCAUUCACUACUCAAUUGCCGCCUGGCAAGAUGUGUGUGGGCGUUGGAAGAUGAUGAUCUGGUGGGGCAUGUGAUCUCAAACCAAACGGAGGAUCCUAAGCUAUGGCUGUUCUGGCUUUUCGAAACAACCAACCAGCAGGACCUAGCUCGAGUUUUGGUAACUAUGUGGGCAAUUUGGUGGGCUCGAAGGAAGGCAAUCCAUGAGAAUGAAUACCAGAGCCCGCUGUCAACUAUGUGCUUUAUCAAUAGAUUCAUGGAAGAUCUGGAGAUAGCCAAUAUGCGCAGCCACCAGAAAAUCAAGGGAAGUACGGCUAGACCUCAUGCAAAAGUCUGGCUACCACCACCCGGCGAUGCAGCAAAGUUUAACUGUGAUGGUGGCCUAUCAUCUUUGGGGGAAAAGGGAGCAACUGGAGUUGUAUGUCGGGAUAAAAAUGGGAAAUACUUAGGUGCGUCGGCGGUGGUGUACGAAGGCCUAUCUGACCCGGCAAGCUUGGAGGCUCAAGCAUGCAGCGAGGCACUAGCCCUCGCACGGGAUCUGAACCUACAGGAGCUUGUGAUUGCCUCAGACUGUGUCGAAGUAAUAACUAAUAUCAGCAACGCAGGAUCGCCAUCUUAUGCUCCCAUUCCGAGGGAAAUCCAAACUAGUAGGGCAAACUUUACAUCUGUUUCUUUCCGCUUUGAAAGUAGAGUUAAUAAUUUUGAGGCCCAUUCGCUUGCUAAGGGAGCUGCGUCUCUCGCGGUGGGUCGCCAUGUGUGGCUAGGGGUUCUGCCAGAUAUUGCUUGUAUUCCGGAUGUUUUGAACUUUGAAUAAAAGCCCUAGCUUCCUUCAAAAAAAAAGGUAACGCUGGGCAGGCCACGCCAGGAGGUAAAAAGUUUACGCAAACAACGAUGGACGAUCGAGCUAAUCGUGAGCGUAAGUCAAAGUGAUCGGAUGGCUGGGUGUUUUAAAUUGCUGUGGGGGCUCCUAGGUAGCCCUGUUAUACUGUUUCUCAAUUCGAUGUUGAUUCCAACAUAGAUAACAGUUUUGUGUAGCAAAGGUGAUAGCUAGAUCAUACAAUUAGCGAUCCGCAUGCCUAAUUUGAAAGUACAACUUGUACUCAUAGCAUGACCUUUAUCGCUCAAUAUGUCAGAAGCUUAGAUUCUUUGGUGUUCAUUUUACAUAUUAUUAUGAUGAGACGUACUUUCCAUUUUGUUAUGCCGCUAAUGAAUGUAUCCAAUUUAUAAUGUAGUGGCUAAUUUCAUGAACCAAGUUGGCGUUAACACUAAACUACAUCAACACGCCUUCUUGUUGUAUUACACUAACACGCCUUGUAUAUCUUUUCAGUUAAUGGUGUAUCUAUAGUUUUGCACAACACGCUUUGUUACAUUAUUUAUUGCAGAGGAGACGACACAAUCACCAAGGGGGAGAAACCAAGCAUGGCGAACCACCCAUGCCAAGUUCACCACAAGAUUUACAACACCAUCGCCCACGAAAAACCACAUUAGGCUGACAUAGAUACAUGAGCGAUAUCAUAGAAGGGUCGUCACCAAUGCCAAGUUCACCACAAGAUUUACAACACCAUCGCCCACGAAAAACCACAUUAGGCUGACAUAGAUACAUGAGCGAUAGCAUAGAAGGGUCGUCACCAAAGCACGAAGCAAGCUUCUUUGUUUUCCCCAUUAUUGUAAAUAGAAAUAGAUCAGCAAGCUGGCAUAAUAUGGAUCCCAAUUUGCUCUCUUAUUGAUAAUCCAACUCAUGAAAGAAAAUGUGUCCUAUUGAGAUGAUAUCCAAUAUUUCUAACAUUUUUACACAACAUAUAUUUUCAAUUUCUUAAGCUACUA